GAGUGAAAUAGAACCUGAAACCGUGUGCUUACAAGUAGUCAGAGCCCGUUAAUGGGUGAUGGCGUGCCUUUUGUAGAAUGAACCGGCGAGUUACGAUUUGAUGCAAGGUUAAGCAGUAAAUGUGGAGCCGUAGCGAAAGCGAGUCUGAAUAGGGCGUUUAGUAUUUGGUCGUAGACCCGAAACCAGGUGAUCUACCCUUGGUCAGGUUGAAGUUCAGGUAACACUGAAUGGAGGACCGAACCGACUUACGUUGAAAAGUGAGCGGAUGAACUGAGGGUAGCGGAGAAAUUCCAAUCGAACCUGGAGAUAGCUGGUUCUCUCCGAAAUAGCUUUAGGGCUAGCCUCAAGUGAUGAUUAUUGGAGGUAGAGCACUGUUUGGACGAGGGGCCCCUCUCGGGUUACCGAAUUCAGACAAACUCCGAAUGCCAAUUAAUUUAACUUGGGAGUCAGAACAUGGGUGAUAAGGUCCGUGUUCGAAAGGGAAACAGCCCAGACCACCAGCUAAGGUCCCAAAAUAUAUGUUAAGUGGAAAAGGAUGUGGCGUUGCCCAGACAACUAGGAUGUUGGCUUAGAAGCAGCCAUCAUUUAAAGAGUGCGUAAUAGCUCACUAGUCGAGUGACACUGCGCCGAAAAUGUACCGGGGCUAAACAUAUUACCGAAGCUGUGGAUUGUCCUUUGGACAAUGGUAGGAGAGCGUUCUAAGGGCGUUGAAGCAUGAUCGUAAGGACAUGUGGAGCGCUUAGAAGUGAGAAUGCCGGUGUGAGUAGCGAAAGACGGGUGAGAAUCCCGUCCACCGAUUGACUAAGGUUUCCAGAGGAAGGCUCGUCCGCUCUGGGUUAGUCGGGUCCUAAGCUGAGGCCGACAGGCGUAGGCGAUGGAUAACAGGUUGAUAUUCCUGUACCACCUAUAAUCGUUUUAAUCGA
rnacentral:rRNA from 1 species